rnacentral:rRNA from 1 species
AUGUGUAUAAGAGACAGCCUUGGCACUAGGAGCCGAUGAAGGACGUGAUAAGCUGCGAUAAGCUUCGGGGAGUUGCACGUAAACUUUGAUCCGAAGAUUUCCGAAUGAGGAAACUCACUUAGAGUAAUGUCUAAGUAUCGUAUGAUGAAUACAUAGUCAUGCGAGGGGAACCCGGAGAACUGAAACAUCUAAGUACCCGGAGGAAGAGAAAGAAAUUCGAUUCCGUAAGUAGCGGCGAGCGAACGCGGAACAGGCCAAACCAGUGAAGUUUUCUUCGCUGGGGUUGCGGACAUAUCAUAACGAAGAGGUAUCGUAGAAGAAGAGAGUUGGAAAGCUCCGCCACAGAUGGUAACAGCCCAGUAUUUUAAACGAGAAGACUUUAGAUAUGAUCCAGAGUACCACGGGACACGUGAAACCCUGUGGGAAGCAGGAGGGACCAUCCUCCAAGCCUAAAUACUACCUAGUGACCGAUAGCGCAUAGUACCGUGAGGGAAAGGUGAAAAGAACCCCGGGAGGGGAGUGAAAUAGAACCUGAAACCCUGCACUUACAAGCUGUGGGAGCACAUUACUUGUGUGACCGCGUACUUUUUGUAGAACGGGCCAACGAGUUACGUUAAGUAGCAAGGUUAAGCACUUAAGGUGUGGAGCCGUAGCGAAAGCGAGUCUUAAAUGGGCGUCCAGUUACCCGACGUAGACCCGAAACCAGGCGACCUAUCCAUGAGCAGGUUGAAGCGAAAGUAAAAUUUCGUGGAGGACCGAACCCACGUACGUUGAAAAGUGCGGGGAUGACUUGUGGAUAGCGGUGAAAUUCCAAUCGAGCCUGGAGAUAGCUGGUUCUCCCCGAAAUAGCUUUAGGGCUAGCCUCAAGCUUAGAGAAACGGAGGUAGAGCACUGAAUGUCCUAGGGGGUAUUGCACUUACCGAAGACUAUCAAACUCCGAAUGCCGUAUUCUUUUGCUUGGGAGUCAGACUAUGGGUGAUAAGAUUCAUAGUCAAGAGGGCAACAGCCCAGAUCGUCAGCUAAGGUCCCUAAAUGUAAGUUAAGUGGUAAAGGAUGUGGAAUUGCACAGACAACCAGGAUGUUGGCUUAGAAGCAGCCACUCAUUUAAAGAGUGCGUAAUAGCUCACUGGUCGAGUGAUUCUGCGCCGAAAAUUUCCGGGGCUAAAACUUACUACCGAAGCUACGGCAUCAUUAUGAUGGGUAGGGGAGCUUUCUAUGCGGCUUGAAGCAUGACCGUAAGGACAUGUGGACUGCAUAGAAGUGAGAAUGUUGGCAUGAGUAGCGAGAUGUGGGUGAGAAUCCCACAGGCCGUAAACCCAAGGUUUCCAGGGGAAGGUUCGUCCGCCCUGGGUUAGUCAGGACCUAAGCCGAGGCCGAAAGGCGUAGGUGAUGGACAACAGGUUGAUAUUCCUGUACCGCCAAUAAGCGUUUGAGAGAUGGAGUGACACAGUAGGAUAAGCUAACCGUACUGUUGGUUAUGUACGGCUAAGCAUUGAGGCAGUCUAAAUAGGCAAAUCCGUUUAGACAAUGCUAGGAUGUGAUGGGGAAGCCCUCCGGGGCGAAGUAGCUGAUUUCACACUGUCGAGAAAAGUCUCUAUCGAGGUUAAAGGUGCCUGUACCGCAAACCGACACAGGUGGGUGAGGAGAGUAUCCUAAGGCCAGCGAGAGAACUGUUGUUAAGGAACUCGGCAAAAUGACCCCGUAACUUAGGGAGAAGGGGUGCCUUCGAAAGAAGGCCGCAGAGAAUAGGCCCAAGCGACUGUUUACCAAAAACAUAGGUUUCUGCUAAGUCGCAAGACGAUGUAUAGGAGCUGACGCCUGCCCGGUGCUGGAAGGUUAAGGGGAUCUGUUAGAGCAAUCGAAGCAGUGAACUUAAGCCCCAGUAAACGGCGGCCGUAACUAUAACGGUCCUAAGGUAGCGAAAUUCCUUGUCGGGUAAGUUCCGACCCGCACGAAAGGCGUAACGAUUUGGGCACUGUCUCAACAACAGACUCGGUGAAAUUGUAAUACCGGUGAAGAUGCCGGUUACCUGCGACAGGACGGAAAGACCCCAUGGAGCUUUACUGUAGCUUGACAUUGAGUCUCGGUGCUACAUGUACAGGAUAGGUGGGAGACUAUGAAGCAUGGACGUCAGUCUGUGUGGAGUCAUCCUUGGGAUACCACCCUUGUAGUACUGGGAUUCUAACCAGAGGCCAUGAAUCUGGUCUUGGGACACUGUCAGGUGGACAGUUUGACUGGGGCGGUCGCCUCCCAAAAAGUAACGGAGGCGCUCAAAGGUUCUCUCAGUACGGUCGGAAAUCGUACGAAGAGUGUAAAGGCAAAAGAGAGCUUGAUUGCAAGACAUACAGGUCGAGCAAGGACGAAAGUCGGACUUAGUGAUCCGGUGGUUCCGCAUGGAAGGGCCAUCGCUCAACGGAUAAAAGCUACCCUGGGGAUAACAGGCUUAUCUCCCCCAAGAGUUCACAUCGACGGGGAGGUUUGGCACCUCGAUGUCGGCUCAUCGCAUCCUGGAGCUGAAGUCGGUUCCAAGGGUUGGGCUGUUCGCCCAUUAAAGCGGUACGCGAGCUGGGUUCAGAACGUCGCGAGACAGUUCGGUCCCUAUCUAUCACGGGCGUAGGAAAUUUGAGGAGAGCUGACCUUAGUACGAGAGGACCGGGUUGGACGUACCGCUGGUGCACCUGUUGUUCUGCCAAGGGCAUAGCAGGGUAGCUAAGUACGGACGGGAUAAACGCUGAAGGCAUCUAAGCGUGAAGCCCCCUUCGAGAUAAGAUUUCCCAUAGCGUAGGCUAGU